rnacentral:rRNA from 1 species
CCUGACGACAAUAGCGAGUUGGUCCCACCUGAUCCCAUACCGAACUCAGAAGUGAAACUGCUCAGCGCCGAUGGUAGUGUGGGGGUUCCCAUGUGAGAGUAGGACAUUGUCAGGU